AUUGAACGCUGGCGGCAGGCCUAACACAUGCAAGUCGAACGGUAGCACAGAGAGCUUGCUCUUGGGUGACGAGUGGCGGACGGGUGAGUAAUGUCUGGGAAACUGCCCGAUGGAGGGGGAUAACUACUGGAAACGGUAGCUAAUACCGCAUAACGUCGCAAGACCAAAGUGGGGGACCUUCGGGCCUCACACCAUCGGAUGUGCCCAGAUGGGAUUAGCUAGUUGGUGAGGUAAUGGCUCACCAAGGCGACGAUCCCUAGCUGGUCUGAGAGGAUGACCAGCCACACUGGAACUGAGACACGGUCCAGACUCCUACGGGAGGCAGCAGUGGGGAAUAUUGCACAAUGGGCGCAAGCCUGAUGCAGCCAUGCCGCGUGUAUGAAGAAGGCCUUCGGGUUGUAAAGUACUUUCAGCGAGGAGGAAGGCAUUGUGGUUAAUAACCACAGUGAUUGACGUUACUCGCAGAAGAAGCACCGGCUAACUCCGUGCCAGCAGCCGCGGUAA
rnacentral:rRNA from 1 species